CGCGCCUUUAGUGUAGUGGAUAUCACGUAAGAUUCGGUUCUUGAGACGGGGGUUCGAUUCCCUCGAGCGCGU
rnacentral:tRNA from 1 species